AUUGAGUUGUAUAGAUUUUUUUUGUUUUAGACUGUUUGUGUUCCAAAGUACUCUCAGGAAUAUGAGCUCUCCGAAUCUUAUUUCACCCAUCCAUCGAGAUGUGUUAAAUGCGCCGCCAACCAUUCAACUUCCGCCUGUACAAAAACUCAAGACCAACCAUCAGUGUAUGGAAAUCAUAAGGCCAACUACCGAGGAUAACAAAUCCACAAAGGACUUCAAUGGCUCAAUCGAGGUAAAACAAUUCCAAAAACAUUACUACAACACCAAAUGUAAGUUUCGAC